rnacentral:rRNA from 1 species
GUGCCAGCCGCCGCGGUAAUACGUAGGGGGCGAGCGUUGUUCGGAAUUACUGGGCGUAAAGGGGGCGCAGGCGGUCUGGCAAGUCUGGUGUAAAAGGCUACGGCUCAACCGUAGUGUGCACCGGAAACUGCUGGACUGGAGUCCCGGAGGGGGAGCUGGAAUUCCCGGUGUAGGGGUGAAAUCUGUAGAUAUCGGGAGGAACGCCGGAGGCGAAGGCGAGCUCCUGGCCGGAGACUGACGCUGAGGCCCGAAAGCGUGGGGAGCGAACCGGAUUAGAUACCCGGGUAGUCCUGGCCGUAAACGAUGGAUGCUAGAUGUGGGCGGGGAGACCCGUCCGUGUCGCAAGCUAACGCGUUAAGCAUCCCGCCUGGGGAGUACGGCCGCAAGGUUGAAACUCAAAGGAAUUGACGGGG